ACUCACCAGGUCAGGACACGGUAAGGAUUGACGGACUGAAGGCUCUUUCUCGAUUCCGUGGAAAGUGGUGCAUGGCCGUUUUUGGUUGGUGGAUCGAUCCGUCUGGUUAAUUCCGUUAACGAACGAGACCUCGGCACUCCGAAUAGCGCGGCGGACGUCGCGGCCUCCGGGCCGUCUUCCGCACGAGCUUCUUAAGAGGGACCGUCCCCCGCCGGGGAAGGAGGUGCGAGGCAACGACAGGUCUGUGAUGCCCUUAGAUGUUCUGGGCCGCACGCGCAUUACACUGACGCGUCCAACGGGUGACUCCCGACCCGAAGGGGCCGGGGAAUCCGCAAGGCGCGUCGUGAUGGGGAUUGAACGUUGCAAUUGUUGUUCACGAACGAGGAAUUCCUAGUAGGCGCGGGUCAUCAACCCGCGCCGAUUACGUCCCUG
rnacentral:rRNA from 1 species